rnacentral:rRNA from 1 species
UACGUAGGGCGCAAGCGUUGUCCGGAAUUAUUGGGCGUAAAGAGCUCGUAGGCGGUUUGUCGCGUCUGCUGUGAAAACUGGAGGCUCAACCUCCAGCCUGCAGUGGGUACGGGCAAACUAGAGUGCGGUAGGGGGAGAUUGGAAUUCCUGGUGUAGCGGUGGAAUGCGCAGAUAUCAGGAGGAACACCGAUGGCGAAGGCAGAUCUCUGGGCCGUAACUGACGCUGAGGAGCGAAAGCAUGGGGAGCGAACAGG